UAGUCUAGGUAAAGGAGAGAGGACCAGUUCACUACCAGAUUAGUCUAGGUAAAGGAGAGAGAGGACCAGUCCACUACCAGAUUAGUCUAGGUAAAGGAGAGAGGACCAGUCCACUACCAGAUUAGUCUAGGUAAAGGAGAUAGGACCA